CCCAUUUCACGGGCAAGAUGUUGCAAUUGUGCCGGGGGACAUGAAUUUGCUGAUGAAUAGAUGAUUGCUUUUGAACAACAAGCGUUAAUGUACUGACUAUAGAGUAUAACGCGUCUUAACACAAGUUGUUUUUGUAUAUAAAGGUAUUAAUAUUUAAUAGGCCGUUUUUAGCUUAAUUCUCUCAGUUUCAAAAAUGUUACUCUUGUUCAAAUGCACGUAUCUUUGUCAAUAUGGCAGGGAAAUGUGCAUGGCAUAUAUCAAAAUUUAAGUUAGACAUCGCUAAAUGCCAAUAAAGGAGUUUUAUUGUCAUUGCUCUUUUAGUUCUGAUGUUAUACCAAUUCAAAGCGUCGUACUUUUUUUGCCCCACAAG